CACGUCAGAUAGGCCGGAAUCGGGUUCGAGGCGUGGUGCAUGGCGCAGGAUCCGCUCAGCGCCCAGCACCAGCUCCAGGCUUGUCCCCGCUCUCCGCCGCGGCCCUGGCCUGGAUGUGGGAGGCGAACGCAGUGAGCAUUUCUUGCGCGGUGAGGUGGGCGCCGCGCAUAACCAAGCGAUGCCCGUCUCCUGGGGAAGAAAAGAACGAAUCAGCCCGGAGCCCGAGCCGAGCUAAGGCCGCCGCCAUGGUAACAUCCGCUCCGGAAGCACUCGCCCAACAGGAGCGUAGUGAGUGGAAGGGGCUGUGAAUGGCCGCGACGCUC